AUAUAUAUCAAAUGACUUACUCGAUCAUGCUAUAAAAUGGCACAGAGUGCCUGGUAAAUACCAAAGAACCAAAGAAAGAAAAAUGUGACACAGUUGAAUGUGGGGUGAUGGGGUGAUAUGAGCAAGAAAAUAAAUAUAGUCCUGUUUUUCUCCUUCAGGAGUGGCCAGCUUCCUGUGGUUUGUUGGAUUCUGUUUUCUGGCCAAUCAGUGGCAGGCCACAUCUCCAGAUGAGCUGCCAUUGGCCCAGGGCUCAGAUGCUGCCAGAGCUACUAUCACGUUUUGCUUCUUUUCAAUCCUAAGCUGGGCUGUGUUGACGCUAAGUGCUCUUCGGCGCUAUCUAACCGGCAGUAAUACAAACUUAUUCACCUGGCAGCACCUUGACCCUCCUCCAAGCAACGCCCGAGCCACUCCCUACCCCAUCCCCAACGGAGGCACCAUCGUUACCACCAACCCCUACCAAGCCACGCCCUUCACCGAAACCCUGGACCCCCAGAAACUCACACAGCAUAGACAAGUGGCUCCUGCUUUUUAGAAACGCAAAAAGAGAAGAUUUGAACUGAACGACACAACACACUGAGCUGAGGACCACCCGCCCUAUUGGUUUUACUGGGACUCCAUCCCCUCCAGGGAGCCGUUGGAUCCCUUUUCACCAUGGCAACUGCUGGCUAAGCUUAGUUCUGUUCAUGCAAGCGCACACAUACACAGAUGUUGAUGCAGGUGAGUACAGAUGUACUCACUUAGCAUCUGUAUGCAGUUAAGCACCUGGAAACACAUGUACAGAUUCACACUGAGCAACAUCCUGGCUGCAUGCUUAUUGGGUGAAGUGUAGAUUAACAUAGAUGUAGACCAGUGAAGAUGCUUUACCUGCCUUAUGAAUGGACACAGUGGGAGAGACGCUCUUCAUUAAGCUCAAGCUGGUCACCCAGCAGCUGAAGGUAUGACCAACAUAUUGUGAGAUGAAUGCAAGAAACAGCAGAACUUGAAGGAAAUAGUUUCUUGACAGUGUAAAAUAUAAAUGUGAUUAAAUAUUUUAUUGUGAUUUGUUGAAUUGAUU